ensembl:miRNA Gm26233 predicted gene, 26233
UGUGUGUACUUGUAUAUGUGUGUGUACAUGUAUAUGUGUGUGUACAUGUAUAUGUGUAUACAUGCAUAGA